rnacentral:rRNA from 1 species
UACGUAGGGGGCAAGCGUUGUCCGGAAUCAUUGGGCGUAAAGAGCGUGUAGGCGGUUCGGUAAGUCCGCUGUGAAAGUCCAGGGCUCAACCCUGGAAUGCCGGUGGAUACUGUCGGGCUAGAGUCCGGAAGAGGCGAGUGGAAUUCCUGGUGUAGCGGUGAAAUGCGCAGAUAUCAGGAGGAACACCAAUGGCGAAGGCAGCUCGCUGGGACGGUACUGACGCUGAGACGCGAAAGCGUGGGGAGCAAACAGG